AUCCCGCCAUCUCUUGCAACACCAUCCAAUCUUUCAGUCAUGAAGAUCUUUGCCUUCCUCGCAGCUGUUCUCUUCUUUGUGCUGAUGGCUGCUCCAGCACUUGCGCAGAAGUCAGAGGCAGAAUGUCACAGGAUGGGUGGCAGGUGCUAUAAUGGCUUUUGCCCAGGAAACUUAAUUCACAAGGGACAUUGUGGUAACCCGAAAAGAUGGUGCUGCAGAAGAUAGAUAACGUCAGGAUGUUGGCUGCAUUACAUCCAUAGCCUGAACAUUUUCAUGGCCUCUGCAACCCGCUUCGCUUCGCAUUUGCGCUUUUAAUGGAGCUGAUUCUCUGGUGAUUGUUUCCCUUCUUCUGCUAAUUAAAAA